GGGUUUCAUUCUGUCGCCCAGGCUGGAGUGCAGUGGCACCAUCUCUGCUCACUGCAACCUGGACAUCCCAGGCUCAAAUGAUCCUCCCACCUCAGCAUCCCAAGUAGCUGGGACUACAGUCUUUUUUAGCCGAUUAUGGUCUCCUAACGUGUCCGGAAUUGGUGGAUUCUUGGUCUCGCUGACUUCAAGAAUGAAGCUACGGACCGUCACGAUGUUCCGGGGCUGAUCUUGAGACAGACACACCAAGCCUAGAGAUCCAGCUGCAAAGUUCCAGAGAUUACUUCAAGGUGGCUAGCCAACAACCCAGCCAUUGUGGAGAUGACAUCAGCCCAAAGGCCAGGUGGACUGGGACCCAAGACAGCCACCAGCAUAAGACACACAGACAUUUUGCUCAGCCCGAGGUCCAGGUGGACUGGGUCCCAAGACAGCCACCAGGACAAGACACAAAGGCAUUGUACUCAGCCCAAUUCUUGCAUGCCUUUCUUAACAAGUUUUCCCCUUUUUAAACCCCUUCCUUCCCCCCACCAAAUUGAAGUGGUUACUUUGGAUAGGCAUCCAAUCAUUUCCCCUUCACUAGUUUUGGUUAAUAAAGUCAUUUUCUUUCUACCAGACCUCACUCUUGUUACUGGACUCUGUACGCAGUGAGCAUCCGG
rnacentral:lncRNA from 1 species